rnacentral:rRNA from 1 species
CAGUCGCCGCGGUAAUACGUAGGUGGCAAGCGUUGUCCGGAAUUAUUGGGCGUAAAGGGCUCGCAGGCGGUUUCUUAAGUCUGAUGUGAGAGCCCCCGGCUCAACCGGGGAGGGUCAUUGGAAACUGGGAAACUUGAGUGCAGAAGAGGAGAGUGGAAUUCCACGUGUAGCGGUGAAAUGCGUAGAGAUGUGGAGGAACACCAGUGGCGAAGGCGACUCUCUGGUCUGUAACUGACGCUGAGGAGCGAAAGCGUGGGGAGCGAACAGGAUUAGAUACCCCCGUAGUCCCUGUCUCUUAUAA